UUGCGGCUGGAUCACCUCCUUUCUAAGGAGCAUCUCCUGAUGGUUCACCUCUGAAGGGUGAGCGGACAGGCAGAGCCACUUCCACAGCGAGUGUCUGUGGGUGGUGCUCAUUAACCAAGUAACACUACUGGUCUUUCUUUCGGCACACUGUUGGGUCCUGAGGCAACACGCGCUGCGUGCGCUGCUUCUGCUGACCAGAACGAUUCGGACUUGAAACCAGCGGAGAUUGGUUCGUGGAGGUCUUGUCAGGGAAGAGUUGUUCUUGGUGUGGUGUUUGAGAACUGUACAGUGGAUGCGAGCAUCUUUGUGGUCAAGUUGUUAAGAGCAUACGGUGGAUGCCUUGGCACCAGGAGCCGAUGAAGGACGUAAGAGGCUGCGAUAACCCUCGGGGAGCUGUCAACCGAGCUGUGAUCCGAGGAUUUCCGAAUGGGGAAACCCGGA
rnacentral:misc_RNA from 1 species